rnacentral:lncRNA from 1 species
CCCCCUGAGAAGUGGCAUCUGUAAGUGGAUGCAGCAUGAAUGAUUAAGCAUCACGAGCCGGGGUGAGGACGACCUGGAGGAGCAUACGUGCACGCAGGCCUCGGCGAGUUGUCACCAACCGUGCUGGACGACUGAGAUGUUAGAGGAACCAGGACACUGGACACGUCCUUUUCCUGCUUAUCCGGAGGGAAGACAUUUUCUUUUUCCAGGUUCGGAUCAGCUGACAGCUGAGUAACACCACUUCAGACAUGCAGGUUUGACUUUUCUGUUGUGCUCUGUCUUUCACCUGUAUCCUGCAUACUGAUC